rnacentral:sRNA from 1 species
AGAUCUUAUGUAAGAA